GGGCGCGGCGGGUUGUGGAGGGCCCUGAAGGACGUCCCGUAGCGGCCGGUUGUUCCAUGGUGCACGCCGGCUCUUGGUAGGGCAGUGUAUGUCCGUGGCCGGAGAGAGGUGUGGGGUGGGAGUCUGUGUUCCCGGGGUUCCCCCCUUCCCAGUUUGUGCGGGCUGGGGGGGGCGGGCCGUGCGCCCUUGCCAGCGGUGCCCUGAGACGGGCGGGCCCCCGGGGGAGGGGUCCGGGGGGUGGUCGGAAGGGGCUGCGGGCGUGAAGGCGGGCUGGUAGGCGGCCGACGUGUUCGUCGGAGCGAGUUUCGGAGGGGGAGGCAGCCGUGGGUGGCGCAGAAGCUGGGGCGGCUCCGGUGGCUCUCGUGGUUGUGUCUUUUGCGCUCCCCGGGGAGGGGGGGCCCAGGCGGGCGAGGUGUCUGCCGGGGUGCUUGGUCCUCGGCUGGGGUGAAGCACAGGCCGGGGUUUAAAGAGCAGGGCCGAGCUCUUGGCCUGGCCUUGGUGGGGGAGGCCCUCAGCAGGGAUCGGGCUGGGACAUGCCCUUGUCACACACCAGGCGACAGCCUGUGCUUGCUGAUUUGAGGCUCUUCUAAGGGUUGUGGCUUCUGUCCGAUGCCUGAUAACUGCACUGACAGUGUUUGGCUGUCAUGGAUCUGCGGCUUAGUGUAACCAGCAGGAGGAGCUUUGCUCCCUCUUAAAGGCAGCUGUCCUCAGUAUGUCUGCGGAGACAUAAAUCAACCUUGAAAAAGCCAAGAGAAUGGAUGAGGUGGUGUGAGACCUCAGCGUGGUAUGGGAGCAGCCAAGCUAACUUGCUUCCCUGAUCUCUCUCCUGUGCUUGCUGUCUGGUGUUAGCAUGGCUUAUCCAGCUGAUGAGGUGCUGUCUGAGUUUCGGCAUACCCUCUGGCUGGUGUGUAGGAGGUAGGCUACAUUUCGAGCAGCAAGUUGUAGACUUUUCCUAUACUGAACAUCAUCCCUGCUUGUGCUAGUUUCUGUGUUGGGGAAUGGGAAGUGAACCAUUCAACAAAUGAGAGGUUAAUUAAAUCUCUGUUAGGCUUAAGGGACUGGAGUUCCCUGAAAUAAUGUGGAAGAUCUUUGCUCAAAAUUGGAAGGGAAGACACUGAAAGAAUUCAUGGUUUGUGAAAUAACAUUGUUUCUAGUUACAGCUGAUUCCUGUGAAAUAAAGUACUUUAUUACUUCAAGAAGAUACUCCACUGAAAAGAGUUGAGAAGAGUUUUGCAGGCUUGCUGGAAGUCUUGGUGAAAGUUAAGUAGUGGUAUGGCUCAGGAAAAAUGAGGUUAACAAAUUUUUUAUUUCAUAUUUUGGCUCCUCCAGGAGGUAAGUACAAUACAUUUGCUCAGGAUAUUGCCUCACAGUAACUACACAGAUACAGUAGUCUGUUUGGCCUGGGUUACAGUUGAAUGGUGGAAGAAAGAUGCUAUGAGAUGUUCCUUGAUGCAGUUAACCUGAAUCUUGCAGCCUUUCAAGAUUUGUUGAUAUUACAGCAAUGUGUGCCAUUCUUCUACCUCUUUAAAUCCAGCUCCCUCUAGUUAAAGAAUCUGAACCAGGUGCUUACCCUCCUCUACAGUGUCUGGUGUCCUGGGACAGGAGGUGCUUGUCACCACCUUAAGUUUUGCCAUGUUCAUCACUGAAGAAAAGGAGUGGAGAGAGUGUAAUGCUCUGUUGCUGCUGUGACUUUCAGUAAUAGUUGCAUACACCUGAAUAAUUCUGAAUUACAAGUACAGUCCCUUUUAUUUCUUUUCUACUUCUGUUUCUUGUCUACACAGAUGCCAUUAGAUUAGGUGUGCUGUGAGUGAAAAAAAAAAAAAAAAGGGCAGUGGCACAAUGAUUUCUGCCACAGCAGUUGUCCACUGUAGACUUCAAGCCUAUGUUUAUAUCUCUGCAGCUUACACCAAUAAUGGUAAGUAUUGCAAUGGGAUAAUUGGGGCGGGAGGAGCUUGGUUGUCUUUUCUAUAACUGGCAGAAAACAAGUCUGUGAAAUCUUCAUCCAAGAUAGUCUGCUGACCUAAGGGCAGUAUGCUUUCUCAUUUAAACUGGUUUAGAAGCAACUGCUUUCAUCUGCACUGAUUCUCUCCCUGCCUUUCCCUGUUGUGUCAGUGCUGCUUCUCUGGGGAGGACACAGGGAUGCAUCUUGCUUUACAGAUAACUCUUUUAUUAUUUAUACCAUGUUUGUUUAUCUGAAGAUGUAGAUGCCACAGAUGUCGCAUCUAAGAGUUGUUAUAUUGAAAUGUAAAAAAAGGAACUGUAGAAAAAUUGUAGAAAAAAGGCAAAUGAAUGCUUGAUUCAAGAGACAAAACAGUUUGCUGUGUGCAUAUAGUUCACUUUCAUCAGUUUGGGGGAUGUCUGAUAUGUCAGCGUAUGGGUCUUAGUCAUUGAUGACAAUUUGUCAGAGAUGUUAAUGACGAAACCUGUGUUACAUGUCUCAAGCUUGGAUACUCAGUUCACCAGGAAGCGCAAAUGCCCAAGUCUUCUGACCCAGUGGGUCUUAAUUGCAAGGUCCACAAGAAGCUUACAGUCCUAUUGCAGAAAUAAGUGAUGUCUCAGCACUUUAUAUGAAAAGACGUAAGGUGAUGAUAGAAUUGAAAGCCUGCCUUUGGCAUUUCUUAAAUACGUGGGUACACUCUGAUUUAAUACUGUUAAUGAAAACUUAGUCCAGUGUCUGUAUGAUCCUGUGCCUAUGAAGCUUAUACGUUUUUUUAUAUUUGAACUAUUGUGCUGACAUCCAACACUGCAGAAACUCUGGGUUAUCUUUGUUACUAGAGUGAUUUUGAUGACUGUGGACUCAGGUAAGCAACCACCCAGUGCCCUGAAGACCAGAAGAAGCGGUUGGAAGACCCUGCAGAAGGGAUGCAGAAGAUAAAUAGGAAUGUGUGAUGCAUUUGCUCAAAGAAAUUGCUUAAUUUAAGUUCAUAUGUAGAAACCCGGCUUCAUACUUCGGCUUUCAUUCUGACAAGUUCUUGCUCUUAAUGAAAACUUCAGGAGUUGGGAUGCUCUAAAUUGAGCCUUCGCUAGAUAGUAAAAUGAGCUCUGCCAUCUGUGUGAGAAACACACGAAUUUACAAGAUUAAGUGUACAAAUAUGUGGUCACAUAGUUUUUAAGGUGUCUGAUACUUUGCUGUCAUGCUGUCAACAUCCAUGUCAGUGCAGCAUAGGGAACUGGAAGGAUGUUGGGGUUGUCUCAGUUCUUGCAAAUUAAUUGUCAGGCCUUACAUAAUUACUUGCAUGCAAAUUACCCAAAUGAAAAGACUUUCAUAUAUACUCAAAAGGGGAGUGGAAUAUGGUUUCUAAGGGCGAGUGAUAAAAUCUAUGCUACUCUUGGCACAUAAGUUUUGUUUUACAAUCCCAUUCUCCUAAUUAUCCCAGCUAUAAAACUUAGUUGUCCACAGUCUUCUUGCAAGGAGGAAGGUUGAGGUGUUACUGACCAACUGCUUACUUCAGAGCUGAUGGGGGAAGGGUGUAAACCGUAAUAUCAAAGUUACUGCUUGGAUUCUGGAGAAGCUGCUAUGAAGUUUUUUGGUUUGUAAUUGUUUCCCAUGGAGCUAUUUCCCAAGGAGAUGCCAGAGCUGCAAUGUAAAAGGUGAGAUUGAAUUUAGCAGGGUAUAACAGGUAAGAAGUACUAUAUUGUGUUAUUGUUACAAGUAUUUUAAUGUUAGCAAUAAGAAAAAUACAUUCUAUUGCUAAUUUUGUUCAUAAACAGGGAGAACUUGGAAAAGCAGAAGUGAAAGGCUUCUGCAUUUUUCAGUGUUCUCAAUGAAAUUGUGGGGAGGCAGCUGUUACACCAAUUUCUGGAAGAACCUAGUAUCCCUGCAUCGCCAAAAAAGUUUGUAAAGCAUCCCUGAAAAUAGUUAUGGCGACUAAUUAUAAGGUGUUCACUUUUGUCUUUCAGUACAAGAAGAGUGCUCUAAGACCAGUCAAGAACCUCUUCAGGUAACAUGGACAUGUUCUUCAGCUGAAACAUGGCAGCAGUUCAACAGCAGUUACACAAUAAGGAAGGGUGUGCAGGCUACUGCAAGUCCUUGAGUUCAUAAGAACUGGUAUCUGAAAAGUCAUUUCAGUAGAGAGAAAAGCUUGGUUUCUUCCACAACUUUUAAAUCCCUUGAAUUUAAAUGAGAACUCAUCUAAUACUGAAACAGGAAAUUGUUUCUAUCAUAGAUACUGGAGAAGGGCACUGGAAAAGGGGACUUAAAAGUGAUAGUCAGGGCACUGUGGUGGGCCUUGGAAAAACUGCAGAUAGUUCAAAAGACUGCAGUUGUGGGAAGCUCCUUUUUGGGAAGGCACAUGAGCAGUGCGGGAAACCUAAACAGAGGAGACUCAGAAGUCGAGUAUGUUAUGCAGCUGUUUCUUGGCUACAUAUUGGUAUAUCUCUUAAGGCAGGAUGGCAUAAGAUAACCACUGAUGAGAGCAUAUACGAAAGUAUCCAGACCCACCUAAACAGCUUCAGUUUUGGUUGAGUAUUUCCUGAUUUAAAAAUAGCUUUGCUUGGUUCACCUGACUCCUGCAGAGCUAUCUGGCUGAUUGCAGCACCGCUCUGGAGAACCCUUCCCCACCUGUGGGUUGCUGGUCACUGGCACACAAACAUGACUCAGAUGGGUUCCAGAGCAGUACAAAUCAUUUGGUUGCCUGUGUUCUAUCUGCCCACAGGGCGCACCUGAGUGCUUCCUCGUGGGACAAAAAAAAACACUUGGCCUAAGCUGGUUCAGCUGAGCUUUGUGUGUGCACUGCCCUCUUCAGCACAAAACUUGAUAAAUCCCUGUGCUGCAUAAAGCAGGUAUUACCCCCCAAGAAAGAGGAAAGAAGAUAGAGCAAACUAAAUUACAUCAGUGGGGUAAAAGAGCCAACAAUUUUCCAGAUUUGAAAUGCAGUGCCUUUGGAUAUUGACAAUUUGCAGUUGUUUCAUCAAGGCACAGAAUUUCGCAAAAUCUAUGACAAGGAAUACACAUGCGACAUGAUGGGUUUUCUUGUGAGACAUUUUAAUGGCUAUGCUGAGCUUUCCCAGUGUAAUCUUUUGUCACCACUUACUUGAUUUGGAUGAACUUUCUACCAAAAUCAACAAGGAAGGAAUUGACAGGAUGGACUUCGGUAACAGGGAAAUUGUGACAUGUUUGAAGAGAACGCAUGCUCGGAGGAGGGGCUACUUCUGUUUCAAAAACUGGCUUCUUAUCAGCAAAACAAGCUCUGCUUUUUCCUGCAGACGUCUUGUCUCUGCCUUGCAGCAAUGCUAAGGUGAGAAGCCAAGGGAAAGAGAUUUACUGUAGUGAGAACAUCUAUGCACUUGUUAUUUAAACUCUAGACAUUAGUUGAACUAAGACAAGCAUUAAAAACAGCUGGAAUGAUAAUGAUAAGUCUUUGCAGUUAUUACAGGAUCUGUUUUUUUCUACUGAAUUAACACAUGCUGCAGCUUCUAUGACAAAGGAAGGAAAUACAUAUUGGUACAACAGCGCAUGAAAAUAUCACUCACUGUCCUGCCGACUGGUCAUGGGUGGCUUGGGGCAGACAUGUCAGUCUUCCAAGACAAAUUAACAGUGCAAAACUUGAAUGUAUGAAAAACAUCUCUUUAAUACACAAAGGUCAGUUUUAAAGCAGUGGAGAUGCUAAGCAGUGCGUGGAGCAAUUGUAUCUUUCAUAACUCUAGCUGAACACAAGUAGCCAGGAGUCCAAGAACUGACUUAAAGCAGUGAUGAUGCCUUCUCUUCUCCUUCUCCUCACUCUUUCCUGAAAUACUACAAUCACGAUUCGUUGUGUACCCUGUCUUCCCAAGCCUGAACAUUCACUCACAGAGAAGAACAUGGGAGGCUUUUUAAAAGCCCCUUAAUAAUUGGAACAAAAAAACUUUGUUUAGCUAUGAGUGGAAUGUCCUCUUAUAAAAUGUCAAAUAGCCUUGUGGGUUUUAGGUCAAAAGCUAACCAGAUGAGCUGUGAGCUCUUAUUACUUCUUCUGUUCCUUCACAGUAAAAAAUCUGGAGUGCUUAAAAAAUGCUGAGGACAUGACAGUGAUUGACAAGAAAAUAAGAGAUUUAAGGAGAUACUGUGCUGAAGAAAUUUUAAUUAUUUCUAUAAAACAAAAUUGAUACUGGUGUAGGUCUUGCAUGUGCAGUCACAGCUAGAAGCUAGGGCUAAGUUUUCUUAGCCAAGACCGUUACAUGCUCUGCCUUUCACCCUUAUGAAAGAACACCUAAUUUGGUAAAAUCCCAGAGUGACUUUAAGGAGAGAGAUCCUAAGAAAUUAAACAUCUGCUUGAACUUUUUAUUUUUAACUUUUUCUUAGUGAAAGCAUGUCUUAUUUUUAGUGUGUGUGCAGUGCAUGUGUGAGGCUGAUUCCAUCAUUUUUAUUACUGGAUCCGUGCACUAGUGGAUCCCCAAGCAUACGGUUUGGUUCCAGUAAGGUGUGGGCACGCGACCACGUUUCCAUUGAAUUAAGUAUCUAUGAUAUGGGCUUCAUAUGAGUUUUAUAACAGCUGGCAGCUGAUAUCUGAUCUGACAUAAAGUGAUAAUGCCACAGAGAGAGCAGUAGCUGUAAUCACAUUGUGUCAGUGCAAAAUUAACAAAACUUUUAGAGAAAAUUUAACUGAGUAACAAAAGAUGAGUGAAAGCUGGAUCUGCACCGUGGAUAGUGGGUUAUGGUAUAUAUGGUCUGAUACUAUGGACCCAAAUGUUGGAUUUAUUGUGUCAUUAAGCCACAGUCAGAGAGGAGGAGGGUAAACUAUCUUUUACAGUUGCUAAAAAUGGAAAGCACUCUGUCACUGGUAUGUUCUCAGCAAAAAAACCCAGUGCUAUUUGAAAAGUGCUGUUGGAGAUGAUUCAACCACCAUCUAUCUACAUGUUAAAUCUUCAAAAUAUUUUGUGUUACUGCUUAGUGAUGGCAAUGAACAAUGUAAAACUGCUAACAUAUUAACAGGGAGAUCUAAAGAAGAUGUGGUACAGACAUCUGUAUAACUGUACUUUGUUGAGCUGACCAUGGGCACAGUUCUUGACUGCUUGGAUCAUGUAACUGGCCUAAGACCAAAAUAUACACUUGAUAUUCAACAGCCACCUAUGCCCAGUAGUGACAAGAGCCCUCCAGUGACAGGUUAACUCUGUCAAUAAAUUAUUAGCUAAAUAGUAGCUGGGUUUUUCUAGUUGAAAGAAAACUAGACCUUCAUUAAAUUCUAACAUAAGGGUAACAGAAAUAAUUAUUUCUUUCAUUCUGUAAUCUGCUGUGUUAACUUGGUGACUGGAUAAUUUAAAUGUGCUAACUUACUGACUUAACUGAAAUGGCAGCCUAAAUCACAUGAAAUAUAGAGCAUUACUUUGUUUUUACUCAGUUUGGUGAAACUGUAAGUAAAUUAGGUAAGUGAUGUGCUUUGUGAGAUUCAUGUUUGUGCACUCUGCCUUUUUAUGCCACCCAUACAUAGGACACGUGUUAACUUCCAGACUACAACCUGGGUCACAAACUCUGAAGGCAUACAGAAGCUCUGGUGUAAUAUCACCAGCCUCUUGUGUCUGUCUCUAAAGCAACUACCUACAUCCCUUACAUUACACAGGCCGUAACAUCCCCAAUUAAAAAACAAAAAAACAAAAAAAAAAAAAACAAAACAAAAAGAUAUUUAUCUAUCCUGCAAUAACUGUUUAUAAAUUAUAAAUAUGCUUAUGUGCUAUGGAUUUGCUUGUGUCCCUUCUUUCACCCACAUAAGUCAGCAGAGGACACACAAUUGCCAGAUAUAUUCACCUAUAAUGAACACCCCCCUGGAUAUACAGCUGGUAGGAAACAAGACAAAGUAGGCAAUUACAUAGAGCAUCUAACCGACCGCUGCAGGGCAAAACAGCCACAGCCAUCGGGCCGGCUUUGCCAGGCUACAAGGGUAGUACCUCUGCUGCUCAUUUUUACUAUGUAUGCUGUUCUCUGGAGCAUGAUCUAUAACAAAACACCGAGGGUGGUGGCGUUUGGCACAGGGGAGGAAGGCUGCCGCUGUCUUGGAUGCUGCAGCCAUGGUCAGACCCGUGGAAGGAGAUGAGAUGCCUUUCUUUAGCGCAGGUAAGCACGGUGAGAGUUGGGUGAACCAUUUCAAGAGCAGGAUGGGACAGAGAGAAGCAUUUGAAAGAAAGGACCGGCCCUACAAAAAGUUAAUUUAGAAAUUCUCUACUUCUGUUCUGCCUCACUUGAAAUGUUCUCUAUUAAAAAAAAAAAAAAAAAGUAUUCCUUUAUGUUUUGAGAAUAUCUGAUUUCUGAAGUUAAGAGCUUUGUGUUUCGGGACAUUUGCUUCAAGGGAAAACUGAAGGUAGGUCCACCUCAAAGAUCUGCUGACUCUAUCAGAGUGCUAAUAUCACUAUAUAUGUUCAUUACCUCCAAAAUGAGGAGGUGCCUGCCUUUAGGUGUCUUUCAGGAUUAUAAUGUGAAUUCCUUACUUAAUUGCCAAAAACGCUGUUCCCCUGCCCUAUGCUAAGUGUAUUGAUUUGCAUGCUUGCAAGGCAAGAGUAUAUUGCAGAACAUAGUGAUUUGAAUUUAAACUCAUUGCUAAACUUUGGCCUGGAAGCAUCAGGUUGUUCUCCUGAUCAUUCACAUUUACACAAGCUGAGUACAGAAGUAAAGAGCAAUAAAAGGGCAAGGCAAAGGAGAAAGACUCAUAAAGCACCUCAGCAGAGCUAACUUGUUGGUCUAUAUUAAUCAGCCUGAUUUUCACCCUUUUAAAUGCUUGCGUCUUUGCAAAAUUUGCAGCAUGAGGCCCUUUAUAACAGAUGCAGAGCUUGAACAAAGCAUAUUUGAUGCCCCUCUACUUACGUGCUUGUGUGUAAUUUUUUUCAGUGUUUCACAUAGUAUGAGCGAAACAAAUAGCUACUGGUGUACUUCCUUAUUCCUGUGACAGAAGUAGUGAGAGGGGAAAGGGCAAAAGGAGAAACCAGAAUUUCUGCUAACAGGAAGAAAAAGCAGAUAGAUUCUGAAAAGAUUUUAUUUGAGCAACCUACUAAUGUGGCUGCUUACUGCUGAGUUUUGCUGCAGUUUACCAGCUCGUCAGUAUGCAUAUAUUCUGCUGUGUUAACUUGGUGACUGGAUAAAUUGAAUCUGCUAAUUUAUUCACUUAACUGAAAUUGCAGCCCAACAUAUAUAUAUAUAUAUAUAUAUAUAUGGAUUAUCAAGGGUCAGUUUUAUUAUGGGGCUAGAUUCUGGCUCCUUUCACAGCACUGAAGUGGUUAAUUAGACACAGAAAUACACGACUUUCACUCUUUGUCUAAAUACACUUAAAAUUAUGCCAAGCUACCCAAACUUGGUAUUGUCUUAUAUAAACCCAACUCAAGGCAAGAACUGCUUUUGUCCAGGCUAGUGACCUGUCCCAAUCCUCACCUCACUUGGCACAGCUCCCAGUGGUGAUUCUCACAGUAUAUCCAAAUUUACCUGCUGCUCCCGAUGUAAAGAGAACAGUUUGUUAAUUCAUUAUAGAUUGUUUAUGAUUGACAAUAUUUACUGUAAUUUCUUUCUGGACAAACACAGUGCUGUGAACAGACAGGCGUAUUAGGCAGCUGUAUGUUCCCACAGCGUGCAGAUAAACUGCAGUUGGAGUUUUAUCCCUGCUAGAAACUCAGGCACAGAUUGUAAAAGCACUUGGGAAUUAGCCCAGGACUGUUAUGAUGGUCUUGAAGAAGAACACUGUGAGUACGUCUCUAAACAUCCCCGCUUAGGUCACCUAGUGAAUUGUUUUACUGUAGUGUCUAUGGAGUCCUUAAAAAGAUUACACUUCAGUUCGGCAUUACUGGGGCUCAGCUGGAAAGGCGAAGGCUUUAUGCACCACCAAUAUGUGAAGAAAUCAUUGUGCUUUUAUCACUUUGUCCUGUAGCCUUGGAGAGCGGGCUGUCGGGUGCAGAUCUGCUGCAGGGCCCCUCUUUUGAGGCCACAUUCUUUGUCCCCUCUGUGUCCCCUGCACCAGCGUGCCACCACGGCGCUGACGUGAUGAGCGGGGUCUGCUCAGACCACUGACGAAGGAAGUGCUGCUCACCUGGCCCUUGUGCAGGAGCCCUCAGGCAGGGUCUGCAGGGGGGCGAGGGGGCAUGGCUUCACAUGCUCCAUAACACCCACCCCCCCAGGCACCUUCCACCUUCUCUAAACAUUUGCAUCACAGCCAGGGUUACGUUUCCUCUUCAUAUAUUGAAAUAAUUACUCUGCUACAACCAAAAUAGGAUAGUUUUUCUAAGAACUGUGGACGAUGGCAUGUGUAGGCAACUACAGAGCUUUGGGGAUCCUCUGGAGUUGGAUGCAAGCAGGGUGUUCCAGCUUGGAAGUUCUCAAGAACAGCAUAAAAGGUGUGUAAUCGUGCCCUUCUGCUUAUUCUGGCCCUCUAUAAAAUGAAGCUAUGUGUCGUAUGCUUAAUAUUAAAUGGACUAAACAGGUCA